rnacentral:rRNA from 1 species
GACGUACCUCUGGUGUUCCAGUUGUCACGCCAGUGGCAUUGCUGGGUAGCUAUGUACGGACGGGAUAACCGCUGAAAGCAUCUAAGCGGGAAGCCCCCCUCAAGAUAAGGUCUCUCUGGAUCCUUGAGAUCCCUGAAGGGUCGUUGAAGACUACAACGUUGAUAGGCGGGGUGUGGAAGUGCAGUAAUGCAUUAAGCUAACCCGUACUAAUAGCCCGUGAGGCUUGAUCAUAUAACACCCAAGAAG